CACGUAGGGGACGAGCGUUGUCCGGAUUCAUUGGGCGUAAAGAGCUCGUAGGCGGCUGCUCAAGUCGAAUGUGAAAACUCGAGGCUCAACCUCGAGCCUGCAUUCGAUACUGGGCGGCUAGAGUCUGGUAGGGGGAUCUGAAAUUCCUGGUGUAGCGGUGGAAUGCGCAGAUAUCAGGAGGAACACCGGUGGCGAAGGCGGGAUCCUGGGCCAGUACUGACGCUGAGGAGCGAAAGCGUGGGGAGCAAACAGG
rnacentral:rRNA from 1 species